rnacentral:rRNA from 1 species
CACGUAGUUGGCCGGUGCUUCUUCUCCAGGUACCGUCAAUCACUCUUCGUCCCUGGUGAAAGAGGUUUACAACCCGAAGGCCGUCAUCCCUCACGCGGCGUCGCUGCAUCAGGCUUGCGCCCAUUGUGCAAUAUUCCCCACUGCUGCCUCCCGUAGGAGUCUGGGCCGUGUCUCAGUCCCAGUGUGGCCGGUCGCCCUCUCAGGCCGGCUACCCGUCGCCGCCUUGGUAGGCCAUUACCCCCACCAACAAGCUGAUAGGCCGCGGGCCCAUCUCGUACCGAAAAACUUUCCACCACCAGACAUGCAUCCAGAGGUCAUAUUCGGUAUUAGACCCAGUUUCCCAGGCUUAUCCCAAAGUACGAGGCAGAUCACCCACGUGUUACUCACCCGUUCGCCACUCGAGUACCCCGAAGGGCCUUUCCGUUCGACUUGCAUGUGUUAAGCACGCCGCCAGCGUUCGUCCUGAGCCAGGAUCAAACUCU